rnacentral:rRNA from 1 species
GAUGAACGCUGGCGGCGUGCCUAAUACAUGCAAGUCGAGCGAACAGACGAGGAGCUUGCUCCUCUGACGUUAGCGGCGGACGGGUGAGUAACACGUGGAUAACCUACCUAUAAGACUGGGAUAACUUCGGGAAACCGGAGCUAAUACCGUAUAAUAUAUUGCACCGCAUGGUUCAAUAGUGAAAGACGGUUUUGCUGUCACUUAUAGAUGGAUCCGCGCCGCAUUAGCUAGUUGGUAAGGUAACGGCUUACCAAGGCGACGAUGCGUAGCCGACCUGAGAGGGUGAUCAGCCACACUGGAACUGAGACACGGUCCAGACUCCUACGGGAGGCAGCAGUAGGGAAUCUUACGCAAAGGGCGAAAGCCUGACGGAGCAACGCCGCGUGAGUGAUGAAGGUCUUCGGAUCGUAAAACUCUGUUAUUAGGGAAGAACAAAUGUGUAAGUAACUAUGCACGUAUUGACGGUACCUAAUCAGAAAGCCACGGCUAACUACGUG